CACCAGCACCCGUUCCCCAUCCCCAAUUCCUCCCCCUCUUCCUUCUCUGGACGACCUCCCCCGCAGACGCAGCCGCCGCCGCACAGCCUGCGCCUCCACCCAUUCUCUCCUCCCCUCCACCGCCAACCUCCUCCCAUUCCUCUCUCCCAGAUUGAGCAGCAGGUCCGGAUCAAUGGCCACGGUGGCGUGAGCGCCACGAUGCAUCACGGCCACGCAAGGAGGAAGCUCGAUGUGGAUCUGACCCUGGUGCCGACACCAUGAACAAGUCCUCGAUGCGGCCACCACGCAGCUGAUGGCUGCUGGAAAGCUGCGAGGAAGUCGCCGGCCAGACGAGGGCAAGGGCGCCGAGGAGGUUCUCCAGCCGGACGAGGGCAAGGGCCCGAUCUCCCUCAUGUUCCCAACCAUUGACCAGAUCUUCACCACCUCAGAUACACUGUCUCUUCCCCAUGGGCCCGCUCAUGCAUGGUGAAGACCCCCUGCUCCGAGGUGGUGCCGUGGUCAAGAGGAGAAGCACAGAAUAUGGAUGGAGGAUGGGGAAUACAUGCAGAAGGCGGAAGCUCCAUGCUCAGCUCAGCUCUCAACUACACUGCUCUAAGACUACUUGGUGAGAAUGUCGAUGAUGAGCAAGAUAUGUCCGUGCCAAAAACAAGGAAAUGGAUACAUGACCAUGGUGGUGCAAUGAUGAUAAAACUGGAAGCAAGAUGCUUGGAUUUUUUGACAGGUCAGGUGUAAACCCUACCCCCCAGAAUUGUUCCUUCUGCCAUCCUUGGUUCCUAUUCAACUAGGUACGCAGAGUCGGUGUGGGACUAUUCGAGCUUGUGCCUGCAAAACUCUACUGAUGGAUGAUUUCUGCCAUGUUUUUUAUUCAUUUUCAUGUGGAAGUAUUUGAUAUAUCCUGGGUAUGGAUGGUUUGUUCGAAGAAUGUUCCAGAAUUUGUGAAUCUUACUGUACAACAAUCAACACGAAUGCUGAAACAUUGAUUCUUGCUGAAGAGCGGCCACGCCAUGCACCAGCGAGAUCCGUGUGUGGAGUGCAGUUGAGCAAGAGUCGAUUCUAGGCGAGGUGUGUCACAUUGGUCUUCUGCUUCUCGCCGUCUAGCCUCACCGCCAAGCGGCCAGAUCCACACGAGGUGGAUGCCCCACGCAGGGCCCUCUCCCCUCCUUCCUCUCUUGUUUCCUCCAACUACCAUGUCUUCUUACCUUGUUCUAUUGUUUUUUCACCCAUGGGGAUAAAGAUGAGUUAAGGUUGUAACAUCCAUACUAAUUUGUUGGUUUGUCUCAACCAGUGAUCCAAAGUAAACCUAUGAACAUGAAUUUUUUGGGUAUACAUUGUCUCCUCCUCUGCCAAUUGAUUUUCUUCAGAUUAGUUGUAUCAUAAUUUUCAAGAAGAUUGCAAACCUAGCAAUGAAUGAGACUAUCAUCAGGAUUUAAGAUAGUUUAAUAUUAUAAUUAUUUCUUUUGAAGUUUCACUGUUUAUGUAGGUGACAAUGCUAGAUACAUCUGUAUCAUGGCACUUCUCCAGCAAACAAAAGCUUGGUGGCCAUCUACUUUACUUCCAGAGAGUUUGAAAACGUACUAUCACGCUAAUAUUUAGUAGAAAUGUAUGACAAAAAAAUAGUUAGAUGGUAUUACUAUGUAUACAUGUAUACCCAAAAAUAGCUUUACAGGUCUGCUGUUGCUUUAAUAUGUUGUAGUUUCUCUGUACAUUCUUAUGCUAGAUUUUGUUGUUCCCAUGUGACAUACUUCUAAAAUUCAGGUCCUUUGAACAUAUCAGCUUUUCUCACUUAUUCAGAUUAAUGCUAAGUGUUUUUUCUCUUGUAUACUGAUCUACAAAAUUACAAUUGAGAUAUUUUCCUCCUCUAUUUUUCUUCUUGUCACCGUAGCAGCUCUUAAUUCCUUUUGAGGUCCACCAAGAUAAUGCAAUAAUCCCUGGAAAAUAUGUUCUGUACUUAAAUAGACAUCAGACUGAAGAAUAGAAGGGUUGGAUGCAAGUAUUUUCAUAGUUGAUCUCCCUUUUGUCAUCUUUUCUGGCUUUUAUUCCACUACUCCCCAGUCAUGCAUGAAUGCUAAUACAUCAGAUUUAUGCAGUCAAAAUGUUUGACUAUUCAAUUAUACAUGUCAUGCUGCAGUGCUUACUUUCUUACCCCCUUCAGUAAGUGCUGCAAGACCAAACAUCGUUUUACACAUUUGUUUUUGUAAUGAUAGCAUUGACUUUGUUUUUUUCUGCUGCUUACUGAUGCAGAACCUGAGUUGCGGGUUACCGAACCUGAUGAAAACGGAAGUCACUCCGGCAGAGAUGUAGUGUUGUGCCAAUUUGAGGUUGAUGGGGUUAAUGAGGAAAAGGAUUAUGAACUAUGUGUAGAAAUUACCCAGUAUUGCUAUGCCAAGAAAGCAAGAUAGUCGAUGGUGGCAAGAAGCCAUGAACCAUCACUCUGCUAUUACUGAACAAGAUGAUAUCUAUUUGGGUAAGUUUAGAGUUGGAAAUGUUUAUAUUCUAUUAAAGGUUUAUCUCUAGAACAUUUAUUUUGUCAAGAGAUGAGCCCUUGCAGGUUCUGAAUAUGUACGUGGAUGAUCUUCAAAUACCUAGAUGAUCAUUCUUUAUAUACCUGGAUAAUUAUUCCGCAUAAA